AGAUGAGCAGUCCGCCUCCCUUUUGGCCUUUUGGCGGGCGCGGGCCGGCUGGAGCGGAGCUAUGGUGGUGCCUCAGGGGAACCGGAACCGGGACAGCGACCGGCCUCGGCCUCUCCUGGCGGGGCCAUGGGGAGGCCCCGUGUCCCUCAGGCAGGAAACCGGUGCUGGUGGAGGCCGCUCCACAGCUGCGCCUUCCCCCGCCAUGAUCUGGUGAGGCUCCCUCAGGGCCGGUGGCGCUCUCCGCCGGCCCCGGCGCUGAGCGGCUGCGGCGGGAGAACCGGAGCGAGCUUGGCAGUGGACAAAAAAAUGAAGUGACCAGGAUGGUGUGACUUCAGAAAGGAAGGGUGAUUCCACAGGAAAAAGCUGCCCAAGAAGCUUCAGCCACCUUGCUAACUAGGCAGCCCUGAGCCGAGGCAGACCCGGAGGAGCCCAGCCCAGAUUAUGCCUUGAGCUUCAGAACGUCUGACAAACUGAGAACUGGUUGGCAGCUUCCAUGUCUGAUGGCUUGGAGAUUCCUAAAACUUGAUCAUCUGUGUUUUCUCUACAUGGUUAAGAAGGAUUUAAAUAAAAAAAACCCUAAAUAAAGAUGCCACCUACAAGA